rnacentral:rRNA from 1 species
GGUCAAGUGAAGAAGCGCAUACGGUGGAUGCCUUGGCAGUCAGAGGCGAUGAAAGACGUGGUAGCCUGCGAAAAGCUUCGGGGAGUCGGCAAACAGACUUUGAUCCGGAGAUGUCUGAAUGGGGGAACCCAGCCAUCAUAAGAUGGUUAUCUUGUACUGAAUACAUAGGUGCAAGAGGCGAACCAGGGGAACUGAAACAUCUAAGUACCCUGAGGAAAAGAAAUCAACCGAGAUUCCCUUAGUAGUGGCGAGCGAACGGGGACUAGCCCUUAAGUGGCUUUGAGAUUAGCGGAACGCUCUGGAAAGUGCGGCCAUAGUGGGUGAUAGCCCUGUACGCGAAAAUCUCUUAGUCAUGAAAUCGAGUAGGACGGAGCACGAGAAACUUUGUCUGAAUAUGGGGGGACCAUCCUCCAAGGCUAAAUACUACUGACUGACCGAUAGUGAACUAGUACCGUGAGGGAAAGGCGAAAAGAACCCCGGAGAGGGGAGUGAAAUAGAUCCUGAAACCGUAUGCGUACAAGCAGUGGGAGCCCACUUUGUUGGGUGACUGCGUACCUUUUGUAUAAUGGGUCAGCGACUUAUUUUCAGUGGCGAGCUUAACCGAAUAGGGGAGGCGUAGCGAAAGCGAGUCUUAAUAGGGCGUCUAGUCGCUGGGAAUAGACCCGAAACCGGGCGAUCUAUCCAUGGGCAGGUUGAAGGUUGGGUAACACUAACUGGAGGACCGAACCGACUACCGUUGAAAAGUUAGCGGAUGACCUGUGGAUCGGAGUGAAAGGCUAAUCAAGCUCGGAGAUAGCUGGUUCUCCUCGAAAGCUAUUUAGGUAGCGCCUCAUGUAUCACUGUAGGGGGUAGAGCACUGUUUCGGCUAGGGGGUCAUCCCGACUUACCAAACCGAUGCAAACUCCGAAUACCUACAAGUGCCGAGCAUGGGAGACACACGGCGGGUGCUAACGUCCGUCGUGAAAAGGGAAACAACCCAGACCGUCAGCUAAGGUCCCAAAGUUAUGGUUAAGUGGGAAACGAUGUGGGAAGGCUUAGACAGCUAGGAGGUUGGCUUAGAAGCAGCCACCCUUUAAAGAAAGCGUAAUAGCUCACUAGUCGAGUCGGCCUGCGCGGAAGAUGUAACGGGGCUCAAACCAUACACCGAAGCUACGGGUAUCACGUAAGUGAUGCGGUAGAGGAGCGUUCUGUAAGCCUGUGAAGGUGAGUUGAGAAGCUUGCUGGAGGUAUCAGAAGUGCGAAUGCUGACAUGAGUAACGAUAAUGGGUGUGAAAAACACCCACGCCGAAAGACCAAGGUUUCCUGCGCAACGUUAAUCGACGCAGGGUUAGUCGGUCCCUAAGGCGAGGCUGAAAAGCGUAGUCGAUGGAAAACAGGUUAAUAUUCCUGUACUUCUGGUUAUUGCGAUGGAGGGACGGAGAAGGCUAGGCCAGCUUGGCGUUGGUUGUCCAAGUUUAAGGUGGUAGGCUGGAGUAUCAGUCAAUGGCGAUGUCGACUGCCGCACCCCAUCGGGAGCAAGCCCCCUCCCACAGUCAAAUCGUGCGCGGCUUAGACGCCCUUCUGCGCCAACAACUCCAGGCCUUCAUGCAACGCCGGGAACAGGCUGUUAUUGAAGUUGUUCCAACGCAACUCAAGGAUGGUGUCGUCCGGCGAGAUUUCGGUCUUGAGCACGUCGUGGAACACUUCGCCGGAGUCGAUGCCGUUAUCCACGUAGUGGAACGAGGCGCCGGUGAGGUACAGCGGUUCACACGGCUGCGUCUCCCUGGUCGCCCAAUCCACCACGGCUUGUCCACGGGCACCGUACAAGGCAUUCCAGGUGGCGUAGGCACCCCGGCGCUCAUAGGGCGAUUCGAUACGGGUAAUACCGGGGUGGAUGUUCAUGAUGCGACGGGCAAACGGCGCGCCCGGACGCACCAGUUCAUCGAGGAUCACCAGCAGGCCGUCCAGCACCACGAUAUCGGCGUUCAACUCCACCAGGGUGUCAUGCAGGCGGCGUUCGAAAUCCUGCUUGCCGGCGACGUGUUCCGCACUGCCCCGAGGCAGGCGCCGAUAGGUCGACGGCACGCUCAGCAGCAGAUCGUUGACCAGGCGCCCCUGCACCCGCAGGUCGGCCGGGUACAGCCACUGGCGGCCGGGCUUAUAGGCAAAGCCGUAGUCGGCCACCAACUGCUGGUCCCGCGGGUUCUGCUCAUCGUCGUCAUACACCACGCCCACCAGGUUGUAGGCCUCGCCCAGUGGCGUAUCGUUGAGCGACCCCACCAGAAACUCCAGCACCGACUUCAUGUAGCGCUCGUGGUCCUUGUAGGCCACCGGCUGGCCGGCCUUGUCGGCGGCGGCAUUGCGCAGGGACCACACGUACACCAGGUUCUUUUUCGUCAUUGUUUCGCUCUCGCUGGAAAGAUCAGGCACGCGCCGAUACGCGUGCGCCUACACCACAAGAACGAACCAGCCCACGCGCAAUUUAUCCGCCACCGCCACCGCCGGGCACGCCGGGCUAAAUAGUCGCGCCAAUCCUUCGUUUGUCAUGGGUAAGGGUCUGUGUGCCCAGCCCCCUCUUUUUCACUUUCCGGGAAGUACUUAUGACCGACCCCAAGCGCUGCGCCUUCAAAGGUUUGCUUGCAUUGCUCAGGCCGUUUCGCACCAUAGUGACGGUCUCCAUCGCCCUGGGCAUGGCCGGCGGCCUGGCCAUCACGCUGUUGCUGGCGACCAUCAAUAACGCGCUGCACACUUCCACCGGCAUGACCCAGGGCGUGAUCCUGAGCUUUGCGGCGCUGUGUGUGCUGGCGCUGACCAGUUCGAUCGUCUCCGAUAUCGGCACCAACUAUGUGGGCCAGCGGAUCAUUGCCGCCCUGCGCAAGGAUCUCGGCGAAAAGGUGCUGUCGGCGCCCAUCGAGCAGAUCGAACAGUAUCGCUCCCACCGCCUGAUCCCGGUGCUGACCCAUGACGUCGACACCAUCAGCGACUUCUCCUUUGCCUUCACCCCGCUGGCCAUCGCCACCACCUAACGAAGUGGUUGAUGCCAUGCUUCCAAGAAAAGCUUCUAAGCUUCAGGUAACCAGGAACCGUACCCCAAACCGACACAGGUGGUUGGGUAGAGAAUACCAAGGCGCUUGAGAGAACUCGGGUGAAGGAACUAGGCAAAAUGGCACCGUAACUUCGGGAGAAGGUGCGCCGGUGAGGGUGAAGGACUUGCUCCGUAAGCCCAUGCCGGUCGAAGAUACCAGGCCGCUGCGACUGUUUAUUAAAAACACAGCACUCUGCAAACACGAAAGUGGACGUAUAGGGUGUGACGCCUGCCCGGUGCCGGAAGGUUAAUUGAUGGGGUUAGCUAACGCGAAGCUCUUGAUCGAAGCCCCGGUAAACGGCGGCCGUAACUAUAACGGUCCUAAGGUAGCGAAAUUCCUUGUCGGGUAAGUUCCGACCUGCACGAAUGGCGUAACGAUGGCGGCGCUGUCUCCACCCGAGACUCAGUGAAAUUGAAAUCGCUGUGAAGAUGCAGUGUAUCCGCGGCUAGACGGAAAGACCCCGUGAACCUUUACUAUAGCUUUGCACUGGACUUUGAAUUUGCUUGUGUAGGAUAGGUGGGAGGCUUUGAAGCGUGGACGCCAGUCUGCGUGGAGCCAACCUUGAAAUACCACCCUGGCAACUUUGAGGUUCUAACUCAGGUCCGUUAUCCGGAUCGAGGACAGUGUAUGGUGGGUAGUUUGACUGGGGCGGUCUCCUCCUAAAGAGUAACGGAGGAGUACGAAGGUGCGCUCAGACCGGUCGGAAAUCGGUCGUAGAGUAUAAAGGCAAAAGCGCGCUUGACUGCGAGACAGACACGUCGAGCAGGUACGAAAGUAGGUCUUAGUGAUCCGGUGGUUCUGUAUGGAAGGGCCAUCGCUCAACGGAUAAAAGGUACUCCGGGGAUAACAGGCUGAUACCGCCCAAGAGUUCAUAUCGACGGCGGUGUUUGGCACCUCGAUGUCGGCUCAUCACAUCCUGGGGCUGAAGCCGGUCCCAAGGGUAUGGCUGUUCGCCAUUUAAAGUGGUACGCGAGCUGGGUUUAGAACGUCGUGAGACAGUUCGGUCCCUAUCUGCCGUGGACGUUUGAGAUUUGAGAGGGGCUGCUCCUAGUACGAGAGGACCGGAGUGGACGAACCUCUGGUGUUCCGGUUGUCACGCCAGUGGCAUUGCCGGGUAGCUAUGUUCGGAAUAGAUAACCGCUGAAAGCAUCUAAGCGGGAAACUAGCCUCAAGAUGAGAUCUCACUGGGACCUUGAGUCCCCUGAAGGGCCGUCGAAGACUACGACGUUGAUAGGUUGGGUGUGUAAGCGCUGUGAGGCGUUGAGCUAACCAAUACUAAUUGCCCGUGAGGCUUGACCAU